AUUGUCAUUCACAACGAAAAAAUGGUAUUCAAAGCGAAAACGUAAACUAUGAUUUUGCAAAAAUAACAAAAAACAACAACAAUCAUGCCCAAUGGUUCGGAUGCAUUCCAGGCUCGCUGAAAUUUUGGAUCUGGACGGAUUAUGUAGCUCUAGCACCUUUUCUUUCAACAAGGGCCCCCGCCAAAGCGAACCAAAAAAGACGACACUCCUUGGAUGGCAGAGAUUGCCAGAGAGCGACUCGAAGAGCAGAAGGACCUUCACAGGAAGAAGGAAGAACAUGAAAUAAGGAAGGAAAAGAUGGUCGAGGACCUCAUCAACACGCAAAAAAAAUUCCAGAAUGAUUUAUUGGAAGUGCUGAAAAAUAAUAAUAAGUUUAUAAUUUGCAUUACGGUCUAAACAAUAUUUUGCGAUUGCAGAUCGUAUCUGUUCUGCUGACUGAUUCAAGUCACCAGAACUAUCAUUUUC